GACGAACGCUGGCGGCGUGCCUAAUACAUGCAAGUCGAACGCUUCUUUCCUCCCGAGUGCUUGCACUCAAUUGGAAAGAGGAGUGGCGGACGGGUGAGUAACACGUGGGUAACCUACCCAUCAGAGGGGGAUAACACUUGGAAACAGGUGCUAAUACCGCAUAACAGUUUAUGCCGCAUGGCAUAAGAGUGAAAGGCGCUUUCGGGUGUCGUUGAUGGAUGGACCCGCGGUGCAUUAGCUAGUUGGUGAGGUAACGGCUCACCAAGGCCACGAUGCAUAGCCGACCUGAGAGGGUGAUCGGCCACACUGGGACUGAGACACGGCCCAGACUCCUACGGGAGGCAGCAGUAGGGAAUCUUCGGCAAUGGACGAAAGUCUGACCGAGCAACGCCGCGUGAGUGAAGAAGGUUUUCGGAUCGCAAAACUCUGUUGUUAGAGAAGAACAAGGACGUUAGUAACUGAACGUCCCCUGACGGUAUCUAACCAGAAAGCCACGGCUAACUACGUG
rnacentral:rRNA from 1 species